rnacentral:rRNA from 1 species
AUUGAACGCUGGCGGCAGGCCUAACACAUGCAAGUCGAACGGUAACAGGAAGCAGCUUGCUGCUUUGCUGACGAGUGGCGGACGGGUGAGUAAUGUCUGGGAAACUGCCCGAUGGAGGGGGAUAACUACUGGAAACGGUAGCUAAUACCGCAUAACGUCGCAAGACCAAAGAGGGGGACCUUAGGGCCUCUUGCCAUCGGAUGUGCCCAGAUGGGAUUAGCUAGUAGGUGGGGUAACGGCUCACCUAGGCGACGAUCCCUAGCUGGUCUGAGAGGAUGACCAGCCACACUGGAACUGAGACACGGUCCAGACUCCUACGGGAGGCAGCAGUGGGGAAUAUUGCACAAUGGGCGCAAGCCUGAUGCAGCCAUGCCGCGUAUAUGAAGAAGGCCUUCGGGUUGUAAAGUACUUUCAGCGGGGAGGAAGGGAGUAAAGUUAAUACCUUUGCUCAUUGACGUUACCCGCAGAAGAAGCACCGGCUAACUCCGUG